CUAGGCCCGGGGAGAGGAGGCAGAGGUUAUGCUCCGGUCUCUGCAGACUUCCACAGUGUCUAUCGAGAUCACACAUGCCAGCAUUGCCCCCUCCCAUCCUCUCCUCAUCGUACGGAGGAGGAAACCCAGGCCGAAGACCUGAAGUGUCCAAAAGCACAGCCAGGCCAAAGAGAAGCACCAUCCCAUGUUCUCCCACUCCCACUCCGGUGCUUCUUCAGUGUGAACUGGACCCAGCAACUUCUUCUAACAAAUAGAGCAUGACAAAAUUGAUGGGAUAUCACUUCUGAGAUUAGAUUACAAAAGGAUGUGACUUCUGCCUUGCUCACACUCUCUCUCUGGCCCUCUUGCGUGCUUGCUCUCAUGAAGCUGGCUGUCAUAUUGUCAGCUGCCCUAUGGAAGGACCCAUAUGGCAAGGACUCAAGGGAAGCCUCUUGCCAACAGCUGGUGAGGAACUGAAGCCAUCAGUCUAACAGCCUGUGAUAAAAUGGUUCUUGCCAACAACCACUUAAGCGAAU
rnacentral:lncRNA from 1 species